rnacentral:lncRNA from 1 species
AAAAUUCAAACUUUGAAUGCUAGAAUAUAAGAAGAGGGAGAAGAAGAAUAUAUGGUUAUCUAGUUAUCUGGUUUGGUUUGAUGUAAUUGGACUGGGCCCUAAGGGGAUUAAUGUAUGGGCCUAUUCCGGAAACAGUCUAUUGAACAUAUGUUUUUUUAAUAAAUUGCAAGCUGUUUACAAAAAAAAAAAGAGAAGAAAAAUAUAUGUAUAAAUCUUUUGACUUGUAUCAUUUUAUUCAAUUUUAAUAUAUAAAGUCUACUAAUUAAUUUCAUUAAGUUAGUAAUUAAAAACUCACUAAGGACCUAUUUUUGAGACAUAGAAAACAAUU